AAGUGUUACAGCUCUUUUAGAAUUAGUCUAGCAGGUUUUCUGGUUUGCACCAGAAAAACCAUA
ensembl:snRNA U7 U7 small nuclear RNA